AUCUAUGGCCAUACCACCCUGAAUGCACCCAAUCUCAUCUUAUGUCAGAAGCUAAGCAGGGUCAAGCGAGAGCUGAUU
rnacentral:rRNA from 1 species